rnacentral:lncRNA from 1 species
UAUUGUGAACGUUUUCUCAUAUCAGACGGGAUAUCGAGAAUUGGUAUUUUGGUGCUCAUACCGGACGGAGUAUGGGGACAACCCGUUUUACUCUCAUACCAGACGAAGUAUUUAGAGAUGGUAUUUUUAGCGCUCAUACCGGACAGGGUAUGAGGACGGCUGGUUAGUUGACAAUAUUGAAUAAGGGUUCAUGCGUAGUGGGAACAUCCCUAUGGACCCCCAUGGAUACUAGUAGGCAGAUAAAAAUGGAAAAUUAUUUUUCUGAUUAAUUGAAUAUGAGAUUAUGAUAUUGUUUGUGUUAUUGCUUCUAUAAGUCAAUUUUGAAAAUUUCGCUACGGUAAGUGUAUAAUAAAUGAU